GAUGAACGCUGGCGGCGUGCCUAACACAUGCAAGUCGCACGGUAGCCUUGGAUUCGUCUAAGGUGAGAGUGGCAAACGGGUGAGUAACACGUAGGUGACCUACCCCGAAGCGGGGAACAACUACUGGAAACGGUAGCUAAUACCCCGUAUGCUUGAUCGUUCGUUCGGUCAAGUAAAGUCGAAAGGCGCUUCGGGAUGGACCUGCGGCCCAUCAGGUAGUUGGUAGGGUAAAGGCCUACCAAGCCGAUGACGGGUAGGGGGCGUGAGAGCGUGACCCCCCACACUGGCACUGCGACACGGGCCAGACUCCUACGGGAGGC
rnacentral:rRNA from 1 species